GCGCGGGAGAAGAUGACGUGAGGGUGUUCGCUCCUCUGGGGGAGAUUGUUCCAAAUCCUUGGAUCAAGAGCCCAUCACCUGCCAGGUGUAUGCAUGUCACCGCUGUGGCCACAGCCAAUGAAAACGAGAGUUACUAAAUUGGCGGAAAACAGAAGCCAAUUACAGCCUAGAUUUAACCUAUGACGUCACGGGUUUGAGCGCCAAAACCCAGCAGCCAAUCAGCAGUCGUGACUUCGCUUGACGAGCCAAUCAAAGCGCACAGAGACUACUACGUCACAGUGGUGGUGGUGCGGGACCCCUGGUAACUUGCCUCAAGUCAUGCGCGGGAGAUGAGGCGAGGGCACGCGCUCCUCUGGGUAAGGUUGCUCCAAAUCCUUGGAUCAAGAGUCCAUCACCAGCACUCAAAAAGCAAAUUGCUAAGUUGGCGGGAAGCAACAGCCAAUUACAGCGUAGAUUUAGCCUGACGUCACGGGCUUGAGCGCCAAGACCCAGCAGUCGUGACGUCACUGUUGAUCAGCCAAUGAGAGAGCUCAGAUUACUACGUCACAGUCUGGUAGUGGUGCGGUAGCCCGCCAUGCGUAGGAGGGGGAGUGAGGGC